UACGAAGGGGGCUAGCGUUGCUCGGAAUCACUGGGCGUAAAGGGUGCGUAGGCGGGUCUUUAAGUCAGGGGUGAAAUCCUGGAGCUCAACUCCAGAACCGCCUUUGAUACUGGCGACCUUGAGUCCGGGAGAGGUGAGUGGAACUGCGAGUGUAGAGGUGAAAUUCGUAGAUAUUCGCAAGAACACCAGUGGCGAAGGCGGCUCACUGGCCCGGUACUGACGCUCAGGCGCGGACAGCGUGGGGAGCAAACAGG
rnacentral:rRNA from 1 species